UCAAACUUGGUCAUUUAGAGGAAGUAAAAGUCGUAACAAGGUCUCCGUUGGUGAACCAGCGGAGGGAUCAUUAUAGAGUGUAAACUCCAAACCUUUGUGAACAUACCAGUUGCUUCGGCGGAUGUGCCAGGUGUCAUUGGCAUCUGGGUUAUACGCAUCCGCCGAGGGUUAAAACUCUAUUUUUAUUAUGAAUUCUGAUUGAAAACAACAAUAAUUAAAACUUUCAGCAACGGAUCUCUUGGCUCUGGCAUCGAUGAAGAACGCAGC
rnacentral:misc_RNA from 1 species